GAUGAACGCUAGCUACAGGCUUAACACAUGCAAGUCGAGGGGUAACGAGAGGAAAGCUUGCUUUCCUUGUCGACGACCGGCGCACGGGUGAGUAACGCGUAUCCAACCUGCCCCCAACUAGGGAAUAACCUUGCGAAAGUAAGACUAAUACCCUAUAAUUUCCUCAGAUGUCAUCUGACGAGGAAUAAAGAUUUAUCGGUUGUGGAUGGGGAUGGGUCUGAUUAGCUUGUUAGUGGGGUAACGGCCCACCAAGGAAACGAUCAGUAGGGGUUCUGAGGGGAAGGUCCCCCACAUUGGAACAGAGACACGGUCCAAAGUCCUAGGGGAGGCAGAAGUGAGGAAUAUUGGUCAAUGGGCGGGAGCCUGAACCAGCCAAGUAGCGUGCAGGAUGACGGCCCUAUGGGUUGUAAACUGCUUGUAUACAGGAAUAAAGUUAGCCACGUGUGGUUAUUUGUAGGUACUGUAUGAAUAAGGACCGGCUAAUUCCGUGCCAGCCGCCGCAGUAA
rnacentral:rRNA from 1 species